AACCUAGCACACCUGCGGUGUGUACCUGCGGAAGGAUCAUUACACAACAAAAUAUGAAGGUCUGGCUUCGCGGCCGGCUGAAGUAUUUUUUUUCACCCAUGUCUUUUGCGCACUUGUUGUUUCCUGGGCGGGUUCGCCCGCCACCAGGACCAAACCAUAAACCUCUUUUUUAUGUAGUUGCAAUCAGCGUCAGUAAAAACAAUGUAAUUAUUACAACUUUUAACAAUGGAUCUCAGAUCG
rnacentral:misc_RNA from 1 species